AGGUUUGGAAUGUCCUGAUGCCAACACUUGGUCUGGGAUCAGAAGUUGGACCAGAAGAAUUAUGGCUUGAACAUGGUGUAGACAGCUAGAAGCUCCUGUUGAGGGGAUGGUCUCCUGCUGGUGGAGUCUAUCAUUGAAAGUCACUGGAUCACAAACUCCUGAUAUAAUCCAUGACGUAACCCACUGACGGAUCCAUAACUCCAAGAUAUUGUUAUUUGGAGGACAAUCCAUGGAAAAGUGAAGCCAUUCUCAAAUGAUGUGCAAAGGAGUGUGCCCAGCUGUGGGGGCAAUCGUGUCCAUGAGGCCAUUUGCUCUGAUUGCUUUCACCUGGUGUCUUUGAGGUCUAUCCGUGCUGUUGCAGGCAUAUUUAAGGGACAUUUGGUUGCUUCCACAUGGUAGCUUUGUGAAGAAUGUUGUCAUCGGGGAAGACACAAGGAAGCUGGGCAUGAUGGCCAAGUGUUAGAGGGUUACACUACUGCCUUCUGCUUCUGAUCUGAUUGAGUCACAGCUGAGAUGUGGCACCAGGACUCUUGGCUACACUCAGUUCUCUCAGUUUGACUGAGUACUCUGGGAUCACAGAAGUGACUACAUGAUGCAGCCCAGAGGUCUGAACUCAAAGCUUCUGCCUGCCUACCUUAUCUCACUGCUGGCAAAUGCAUCCCCUCUGCUCCACCCAUGGUCUCUCCAAGGAAUUAGCAUAACUGGGCCUGCUAGGUGACUCAAGCCACCCUUUCUGACUCAUUCCUUAAGCCAGAUUCACAGGAUGGCUUCUCAUUGUUGUCAAGGUGAAGAAGGUCUCAAUCCUCCCACUGCCUAAGUGGGCAAGGUCCCCAGGAUGGGGGAGAGAGAUUUGGAGGAAGGCUGGGAACUUCUGGGCAGCAUUCUCAGAAGGAUCCAUCUAUGAUCC
rnacentral:lncRNA from 1 species